rnacentral:rRNA from 1 species
GAUGAACGCUGGCGGCGUGCCUAAUACAUGCAAGUCGAGCGAACAGACGAGGAGCUUGCUCCUCUGACGUUAGCGGCGGACGGGUGAGUAACACGUGGAUAACCUACCUAUAAGACUGGGAUAACUUCGGGAAACCGGAGCUAAUACCGGAUAAUAUAUUGAACCGCAUGGUUCAAUAGUGAAAGACGGUUUUGCUGUCACUUAUAGAUGGAUCCGCGCCGCAUUAGCUAGUUGGUAAGGUAACGGCUUACCAAGGCAACGAUGCGUAGCCGACCUGAGAGGGUGAUCGGCAACACUGGAACUGAGACACGGUCCAGCCUCCUACGGGAGGCAGCAGUAGGGAAUCUUCCGCAAUGGGCGAAAGCUUGACGGAGCAACGCCGCGUGAGUGAUGAAGGUCUUCGGAUCGUAAAACUCUGUUAUUAGGGAAGAACAAAUGUGUAAGUAACUAUGCACGUCUUGACGGUACCUAAUCAGAAAGCCACGGCUAACUACGU